UCUGAUGCAGCACGCCGCGUGGAGGAUGACGCAUUUCGGUGUGUAAACUCCUUUUAUAAGGGAAGAUAAUGACGGUACCUUAUGAAUAAGCACCGGCUAACUCCGUGCCAGCAGCCGCGGUAAUACGGAGGGUGCAAGCGUUACUCGGAAUCACUGGGCGUAAAGGAUGCGUAGGCUGGAAAUCAAGUCGAGAGUGAAAUCCAACGGCUCAACCGUUGAACUGCUCUCGAAACUGGUUACCUAGAAUAUGGGAGAGGUAGAUGGAAUUGGUGGUGUAGGGGUAAAAUCCGUAGAUAUCACCAGGAAUACCGAUUGCGAAGGCGAUCUACUGGAACAUUAUUGACGCUGAGGCAUGAAAGCGUGGGGAGCAAACAGGAUUAGAUACCCUGGUAGUCCACGCCCUAAACGAUGCACACUAGUUGUUGCGAUGCUAGUCAUUGCAGUAAUGCACUUAACAGAUUAAGUGUGCCGCCUGGGGAGUACGGUCGCAAGAUUAAAACUCAAAGGAAUAGACGGGGACCCGCACAAGCGGUGGAGCAUGUGGUUUAAUUCGAAGAUACACGAAGAACCUUACCUGGCCUUGAUAUCCUAAGAAUCCUUUAGAGAUAAGGGAGUGCUAGUUUACUAGAACUUAGAGACAGGUGCUGCACGGCUGUCGUCAGCUCGUGUCGUGAGAUGUUGGGUUAAGUCCCGCAACGAGCGCAACCCUCGUGAUUAGUUGCUAACAGUUCGGCUGAGCACUCUAAUCAGACUGCCUUCGCAAGGAGGAGGAAGGUGAGGACGACGUCAGUCAUCAUGGCCCUUAUGGCCAGGGCUACACACGUGCUACAAUGGCUAGGACAAAGAGACGCGAUACUGCGAAGUGGAGCAAAUCUUAAAACCUAGUCUCAGUUCGGAUUGGAGUCUGCAACUCGACUCCAUGAAGCUGGAAUCGCUAGUAAUCGUAGAUCAGAUAUGCUACGGUGAAUACGUUCCCGGGUCUUGUACUCACCGCCCGUC
rnacentral:rRNA from 1 species